rnacentral:rRNA from 1 species
GACAGAGGGUGCAAACGUUGCUCGGAAUCACUGGGCGUAAAGGGCGUGUGGGCGGGAAUGUAAGUCGGGCGUGAAAUCCCUAGGCUCAACCUAGGAACUGCACUCGAAACUGCGUUUCUUGAGUAUCGGAGAGGAAAGCGGAAUACCUGGUGUAGAGGUGAAAUUCGUAGAUAUCAGGUGGAACACCAGUGGCGGAGGCGGCUUUCUGGACGAUAACUGACGCUGAGACGCGAAAGCGUGGGGAGCAAACAGG